rnacentral:rRNA from 1 species
GAUGAACGCUGGCGGCGUGCCUAAUACAUGCAAGUCGAGCGAACAGAUAAGGAGCUUGCUCCUUUGACGUUAGCGGCGGACGGGUGAGUAACACGUGGGUAACCUACCUAUAAGACUGGGAUAACUUCGGGAAACCGGAGCUAAUACCGGAUAAUAUUUCGAACCGCAUGGUUCGAUAGUGAAAGAUGGUUUUGCUAUCACUUAUAGAUGGACCCGCGCCGUAUUAGCUAGUUGGUAAGGUAACGGCUUACCAAGGCGACGAUACGUAGCCGACCUGAGAGGGUGAUCGGCCACACUGGAACUGAGACACGGUCCAGACCCCUACGGGAGGCAGCAGUAGGGAAUCUUCCGCAAUGGGCGAAAGCCUGACGGAGCAACGCCGCGUGAGUGAUGAAGGUCUUCGGAUCGUAAAACUCUGUUAUUAAGGAAGAACAUACGUGUAAGUAACUGUGCACGUCUUGACGGUACCUAAUCAGAAAGCCACGGCUAACUACGUG